UAGGGAAUCUUCCGCAAUGGGCGAAAGCCUGACGGAGCAACGCCGCGUGAGUGAUGAAGGUCUUCGGAUCGUAAAACUCUGUUAUUAGGGAAGAACAAAUGUGUAAGUAACUAUGCACGUCUUGACGGUACCUAAUCAGAAAGCCACGGCUAACUACGUGCCAGCAGCCGCGGUAAUACGUAGGUGGCAAGCGUUAUCCGGAAUUAUUGGGCGUAAAGCGCGCGUAGGCGGUUUUUUAAGUCUGAUGUGAAAGCCCACGGCUCAACCGUGGAGGGUCAUUGGAAACUGGAAAACUUGAGUGCAGAAGAGGAAAGUGGAAUUCCUAGUGUAGCGGUGAAAUGCGCAGAUAUUAGGAGGAAUACCGGUGGCGAAGGCGACUUUCUGGCCAUAAUCUGACGCGGAGGUACGAAAGCGUGGGUAGCAAACAGG
rnacentral:rRNA from 1 species